UUGCCUCAGUAACGGCGAGUGAAGCGGCAACAGCCCAGAUUUGAAAUCUGGCUCUUUUAGGGCCCGAGUUGUAAUCUGCAGAUGAGGCUUUGGGCAACGCGCCGUCCAAGUUCCCUGGAAUGGGACGCCACAGAGGGUGAGAGCCCCGUACCGACGUGCGCCGCGCCUGUUUAUAGCCCAUUCGAAGAGUCGAGUAGUUUGGAAAUGCUGCUCUAAUUGUGGGGUAAAUCUCCCAUAAGGCUAAAUACGGGCCAGAGACCGAUAGCGCACAAGUAGCGUGAGCGAAAGAUGAAAAGAGCCUUGGAUAAGGGCGUCAAAAAGUAUGUGAAAUUGUUGUGGGGGAAGCGCUUAGGGCCAGACGUGGCUUCGGCUGGUUACCCGGUGUUCUUCACCGGCGCACUCUGCCGCUUGCCAGGCCAGCAUCGGUUCGGCUCGGGGCUUACUGCCGCAGGGAACGUGGCCCUUCGGGGUGUUAUAGCCUUGCGGUGACGUCCCGCGCCGGACCGAGGAUCGCGCAUCUGCUCGGAUGCUGGCGUAAUGGCCCUCAGCGACCCGUCUUGAAACACGGACCAAGGAGUUGACCUAGCAUGCGAGUGUUUGGGUGUCAAGCCCUCACGCGCAGUGAAAGCGAACGCAGGUGGGAGCCUCGGCGCACCAUCGACCGAUCCUGAAGUUUACAGAUGGAUUUGAGUAGGAGCAUGCUGGGUCUGACCCGAAAGAAGGUGAACUAUGCAUGAAUAGGGUGAAGCCAGAGGAAACUCUGGUGGAGGCUCGCAGCGGUUCUGACGUGCAAAUCGAUCGUCAAAUUUGUGCAUGGGGGCGAAAGACC
rnacentral:rRNA from 1 species